AGGAAGGUGGGUAUGUUAAUAGUCAUACUCAUUUGACGUUUAGCUUGCAGAAGAAGCACCGGCUAACUCCGUGCCAGCAGCCGCGGUAAUACGGAGGGUGCGAGCGUUAAUCGGAAUUACUGGGCGUAAAGCGCAUGCAGGUGGUUUGUUAAGUCAGAUGUGAAAGCCCGGGGCUCAACCUCGGAAUUGCAUUUGAAAACUGGCAAACUAGAGUACUGUAGAGGGGGUAGAAUUUCAGGUGUAGCGGUGAAAUGCGUAGAGAUCUGAAGGAAUACCGGUGGCGAAGGCGGCCCCCUGGACAGAUACUGACACUCAGAUGCGAAAGCGUGGGGAGCAAACAGGAUUAGAUACCCUGGUAG
rnacentral:rRNA from 1 species